UACCAGCACCCCGAGUGGUCGGGACGAUCAUUGGGCCUAAAGCAUCCGUAGCCGGUUCUACAAGUCUUCCGUUAAAUCCACCUGCUUAACAGAUGGGCUGCGGAGGAUACUAUAAGACUAGGAGGCAGGAGAGGCUAGCGGUACUCAGUGGGUAGGGGUAAAAUCCGUUGAUCCAUUGAAGACCACCAGUGGCGAAGGCGGCUUGCCAGAAUGCGCUCGACGGUGAGGGAUGAAAGCUGGGGGAGCAAACAGG
rnacentral:rRNA from 1 species